rnacentral:SRP_RNA from 1 species
CGGCAAGUCCUACACGACCAGCUCCUACAGAAUCCUCCAGGAUGGGAACAUAGCAAAGGUAUGCGGUUGAGCGGUGCGAUGUAGGUCGCUUGCCAUUU